UACGUAGGGUGCAAGCGUUGUCCGGAAUUAUUGGGCGUAAAGAGCUCGUAGGCGGCUUGUCGCGUCGGCUGUGAAAACCUGGGGCUCAACCCCGGGCCUGCAGCCGAUACGGGCAAGCUAGAAUUCGGUAGGGGAGACUGGAAUUCCUGGUGUAGCGGUGAAAUGCGCAGAUAUCAGGAGGAACACCUGAGGCGAAGGCGGGUUGCUGGGCUGAUACUGACGCUGAGGCGCGAAAGCCAGGGGAGCAAACGGG
rnacentral:rRNA from 1 species